AUGCCGUCGUCGACGAUCCGGAGCAUCUCCAUCACAGUAUCUGACGACGACGGCGCCGCGGCGCCCCGGCGUACCCGCGCCGGUCGACGGAAGGUGGUGCGCAGCUUGGGGCAGCGCGCCGUGCGGCUCGUGGCCCGGUGGUGGCCUAUCCUCCUGCUCCUCCCGGCCGUCGCGCUGCUACUCUUCGAGGCCUCCCGGCUCCGUGCCUCUCCGAGCCCCGCCCCGCCAGUAUCGAGCAGCCUUGGCCGCCUAGACCCGACCACGCGCCUCGUCCAUGGCGUGCGCGAGCCGUGCCUGAAGGUUCUUAGCCCGAAGAGUAUAGAAAAUUUGGUAUUUCAUGAAGGCUCGGGACUUGAUGCUGUGGUCAAGAGGAUUAUAUACAAAACUGACGAUGACGACUAUGACUCACACCACUCUGAGGCAAACUCUACCUAUUUACUGCAGCACGCAGAAGCUACCAGGUUCAAUUUGUUUACAGGAUUCCAAACAGUUCCUGAAAGAGAAGAGAGCUUCAAGGUGAAUGAGACUGUUAGUGUGCACUGUGGUUUCUAUAGUGACAAUGGCGGUUUCAAAAUUUCGGAUGAUGAUGUCAGAUACAUGAGAACCUGUAAAGUUGUUGUGUCUACCUGCGCAUUCGGUGGCGGGGAUGAUCUAUAUCAACCUAUUGGAAUGGUCAAUUCUUCUAUUGGAAAGCAGGUCUGCUAUGUGGCUUUCUGGGAUGCGGUCACACUAUCAACUCAAGAAGCUGAAGGAAAAUUAACUGGCGACAAUGAAAUGAUAGGAAGGUGGCGUAUCAUUGUUGUCAAGAAUCUCCCCUUUGUGGAUCAACGUUUAAAUGGGAAAAUACCGAAGAUGUUGACUCACCGACUUUUCCCAGAAGCAAGUUACUCUAUAUGGGUAGACUCUAAAUACCAGUUCAGAAGAGAUCCAAUAGGAGUGCUUGAAGCACUUCUUUGGAGGACAAACUCUACCUUUGCUAUUUCUGAACAUGGAGCACGGACUAACAUUUAUGAUGAGGGGAAAGCGAUUGUUCAAAAGCACAAGGCUACUCCUGAAGAAGUAGAGGUUCAGCUAACUCAAUAUCGUCAAGACGGCAUGCCAGAUGAAAAAAGACUACAUGGAUUAAAAGCUUUGGCUGAAGCUUCUAUCAUUGUGAGGGAGCUGACCCCAUUGACGAAUCAUUUCAUGUGUGCUUGGUUCAAUGAAGUUGUUCGUUUCACAUCUCGGGAUCAACUCAGUUUUCCGUAUGUACUAUGGCGUCUAAACAUGCCAGGAAUCAACAUGUUUCCUGUGUGCACUCGAAGGGACCUUGUGAACAGUUUGGGUCACACAAGGAAAGUAAAACCUCUUACACAGACGAAUUCAGAUUCUUCCACGGCAUGA
rnacentral:rRNA from 1 species